rnacentral:rRNA from 1 species
GACGAACGCUGGCGGCGCGCCUAACACAUGCAAGUCGAACGAGCGAGAGGAGGUUUCCUUUCUCAAGCGAGUGGCGAACGGGUGAGUAACGCGUGAGGAACCUGCCUCAAAGAGGGGGACAACAGUUGGAAACGACUGCUAAUACCGCAUAAGCCCACGACCCGGCAUCGGGUAGAGGGAAAAGGAGCAAUCCGCUUUGAGAUGGCCUCGCGUCCGAUUAGCUAGUUGGUGAGGUAAUGGCCCACCAAGGCGACGAUCGGUAGCCGGACUGAGAGGUUGAACGGCCACAUUGGGACUGAGACACGGCCCAGACUCCUACGGGAGGCAGCAGUGGGGAAUAUUGCACAAUGGGGGAAACCCUGAUGCAGCGACGCCGCGUGGAGGAAGAAGGUCUUCGGAUUGUAAACUCCUGUUGUUGAGGAAGAUAAUGACGGCACUCAACAAGGAAGUGACGGCUAACUACGUG